AACGGUCUCGCAUUCCCUCCAUCGGCUCUCUCAAUCUAAUCUCCAAUUCCUCCUGGGAUUUCCACUCAGACCGCUUUCUUCCUGUAUGUAUAUCUAUUUUCUCCCUUGUUUUUAUAUUUUUGUGUAUGUAUAUGAAUGUAAUCAUUUUUGUUAAUAGUUACCUGCUAAUAAUAUUGGCAAAACAAUACAAAGAAAAAACACAAACUUUAGUGGAAUGCGAGUCAAUUUUAUUUAGAAUUGUCAUACAAAUACAUCACAACAAAGGACACACUCUCAACUAUUCACUUUAUGCCCUAUAAAACCUAGCUAUGCCUUGAGUCUUUCCAUUUGUGAAAUAAUGCACAAGUCACGUUCUUUAUUCAUAAUAGAAAGACAUACUACCUCAAUGGGAUCACAAAUUAAUGUUGGAAAUUAAGCAGAGACUAUAAAAAAUUUGUUCCAAUUAUACAUUUGUAUGUCCCCACAAAUUCAAAAAGUAACUAGGGAGUAGAGUCUUUGUAUAUGUGCACUUUGUGGUAAAUUAGUAUUUAUAACCUAUUUUACAUUUCGUUUGUGUAAUUUUAGACAUCCUAUUGAGGCCAAAAUGCUAGGGAGUAGAGUCUUUGUAUAUGUGCACUUUGUGGUAAAUUAGUAUUUAUAACCUAUUUUACAUUUCGUUUGUGUAAUUUUAGACAUCCUAUUGAGGCCAAAAUGCUAGGGAGUAGAGUCUUUGUAUAUGGCUUUGAUGGAAGCUCUCCAGGUAUCAAUAGUAACUCAAAGCUCUUAUAUGUUCCUCUACUUCACCUAAAAUGCACACUCAUGCUUAAUGCUAUACAAAAAUAUUGCAGUCAGUUAUGGAUUUUUACUUAGUGCUUGGAAAAGACUAAUAGAAAGACAAGUAAAGAUAGACUAGUCAUGUAUUUGCUUCUUGUGGAAUUAUUCACAGUAGUGAUGCAUUGCAGGGAUGCUGCCUUCGUUUGCAAUAGGGUCAGAAGAAACCAAGGCAUCUGCAAGGCAUUGUACUGUUGGCAUUGAACCUAGAAUUUCCAAUGAACGAAUCAUACUUCUUGAUACCCAGGUCUCCUAUCACCGGUUAUUCCUUCAUAUUCUGCCUUUUUCUUAAAUUCCAAAAAAUUGACAUCUUAUCUUUGAGAUUCCAAUUUUCUUUGUGAAAGUGGAUAUUUGACCCCUCAACAUAAUAUAUGAAUUUUCCUGGCACAAGAUUAUUACUUAUUGCUAGUUCACUUUGUAUAUUUUACUAGCUAUAUGCAGAUUCCAGAUUUCGUCUGUCAUUUACAUAAAAGCUUAAUAGGGGGUUAAAUGUCAUUUUCAUAUCUUAAUGUUGAGAUUGUAAUUCUUCUUUAACAUGACCAGCUAUAUGUGUUUAUGCAUCUCUUCACUCUUUUUAUCCUUUUUUUUUUUCCACAAGUGUGCACUCUAAUACACAUUCAAAAUGCAUACAAAAAUCAGAAAAUAAUCAAACAAAUAGCUGAUAGGGAAUUAAGUAUUCCAAAAACUUUGCCUUCUCUCUUCCCAUUCAUAUUUAUAAGUUAGUUCGUAUGAAACUAUCUUGGUGCAUAAAUAAACAAAAUUCCAACUUACAUUCUUCUACAGAAACAUUGGAAACACAACAAGAGACCUUUGCCAGCCGCUCCCAUGAUUUAAUGGGCACAUCAUCCAUACCCAAAAUCAAAAAGUACUUCUUUUCAAGUUCCAACUCCGUUGUUGUGUACUUCUUAGUCUAAAGUUAGCCAGAUUCUAGUGUCAUCUAUUUAUCAUACUCGAAGUUCGAGCAUAUAAACAGGUGUUUGACUUUAAUGGUUUUGUCGCUUGAAUUCGCAUAAUAGGUUGAACAGCUGACGUCUUUCUAUCAUACUCGAAGUUCGAGCAUAUAAACAGGUGUUUCUUAUCUCAUGUCACGAAUCUAAACAAAAAUACGUCAGUUUUGAAUGAUAUUUCUAUUGUUAAUGAAUUUUCUGACGUAUUCCCUGAAGAACUUUUUGGCCUACCCCCAGAGCGUGAAAUUGAAUUUUGUAUCGACCUUGAACCUGGUACAAAACCUAUUUCUAAAGCCCAAUAUCGAAUGACUCCUAUUGAACUUCAGGAGUUAAAGACCCAACUGCAGGAAUUGUUAGACAUUGACUUUAUUCGUCCUAGUACUUCUCUUUGGGGUGCUCCUUUUCUAUUCGUGAAGAAGAAAGAUGGGACUAUGCGACUUUGUAUUGAUUAUCGGGAGUUGAAUCAUGUCACCAUCAAAAAUAGGUACCCAUUGCCACGUAUUGAUAACCUGUUUGACCAGUUGCAAGGAGCCAAAUUCUUUUCAAAGAUUGAUCUUCGUUCCGGAUAUCACCAAUUGAAGAUUAGAACUGAUGACAUUCCAAAGACGGUUUUCAGAACUCGGUACGGGCAUUAUGAAUUCCUAGUCAUGUCGUUUGGAUUGACUAAUGCUCCUACUGCCUUCAUGGAUAUGGUGAACCGAAUAUUCAAAGAAUAUUUGGAUCACUUUGUGGUCGUCUUUAUUGAUGACAUCCUUAUUUAUUCCAAAAGCCGUUAAGAUCAUGAGCAACACUUGAGGCUGACACUCCAAAAGCUUCGUGAAUAUAAGCUUUAUGCCAAGUUGAAGAAAUGCGAGUUCUGGCUUGAGGAAGUAGCAUUCCUUGGGCACGUGGUAUCAAGUCAUGGAAUAUCUAUUGACCCAACAAAGAUUGAAGUUAUUUAAAGCUGGGAACAACCUAAAUCAGUGAGCGAAGUACGUAGCUUUUUCGGUUUAGUUGGUUAUUAUCGGAGAUUCGUGGGAGGAUUUUCUCGAAUCGCUACUCCAUUAACUCAGCUGACUCGAAAAGAUACGAAGUUCGGUUGGAGCGAAGAAUGUGAGAAGAGUUUUCAAGAACUCAAGAGGAGACUCAUUUCAGCACCUGUUCUGACAAUACCAUCUGGCUCAGAGGGAUUUGUCAUCUACAGUGAUGCUUCGGGCAAAGGGUUGUGAUGUGUUCUAAUGCAACAUGGGAAAGUCAUGGUCUAUGCCUCAAGACAACUCAAAGAAUAUGAGAGAAAUUAUCAUACACAUGAUCUAGAGUUGACAGCUGUUGUGUUCGCACUAAAGAUUUGGAGGCAUUACUUAUAUGGGGAGAAAGUGGAGAUCUUUACGGAUCAUAAAAGCCUCAAAUAUUUCUUCACUCAAAAGGAACUCAACAUGCGACAACGACGUUGGCUUGAACUGUUGAAAGAUUAUGAUCAUACCAUCCAAUACCAUCCUGGAAAAGCGAACGUGGUAGCUGACGCAUUGAGUAGAAGAUCAUAUGCAAGUACGAGUGCGAUAUUGUCAACGCAAAGGCCCAUUUUGUGUGACUUGCAAAGGAUGGAGAUAGAGUUAAAGACUCCAGGGACCCAUGUGAUGAUGGCGAAUAUACGAGUAGAACCGACUUUAAUUGAUAAAGUUAAAGCUGCUCAAGCUACAGACCUGGAGCUGAUGCGUAUGAGGAAGAAAGUGCAAGAAGGUGCUAUGCCGGAAGCAAGAAUCGAUGAAGAAGGAAUACUUCGAGUCAACUCCAGACUUUGUGUUCCUAACGACCCUGAUUUAAAGUAUAAAAUCAUGAUGGAGGCGCACAACACACCGUUUGCAAUCCAUCCUGGGAGUACCAAAAUGUAUCGUGAUCUUCGUCAUACAUUUUGGUGGAGCAAUAUGAAGAGAGAGAUAGCGCUGUUUAUCUCAAGGUGUCUAACUUGUCAACGAGUCAAGGCGGAGCAUCAAGUACCAAAAGGUCCAUUGCAACCACUUGAAAUUCCAGAAUGGAAGUGGGAGCACAUUACCAUGGAUUUCGUUACUGGUCUUCCCAAGGUUUCUCAAGGCAUAGAUGCGAUUUGGGUCAUUGUUGAUAGAUUGACCAAGUCUGCUCAUUUCUUACCGAUACGAGAAACUUAUACACUUGAACGUCUUGCUCGUAUGUACAUAAACGAGAUUGUAAGACUGCAUGGUAUGCCAGUAUCCAUAGUUUCUGAUCGAGACCCAAGAUUCACUUCACGAUUUUGGGUUAGUUUGCAAAAAGCUAUGGGCACAGAUUUACGAUUUAGCUCGGCAUAUCAUCCUCAGACGGACGGACAGUCGGAGAGGACUAUUCAAACUCUUGAAGAUCUAUUAAGACUCUGUGUCCUUGACUUCAAGGGAAGUUGGGACAAGUUCUUACCAUUGGUGGAGUUUUCCUACAACAACAGUUAUCAAGCAAGUAUUGGCAUGGCUCCAUUCGAAGCGUUGUAUGGAAGAAAGUGUCGUUCUCCAGUAUGCUGGGAUGAGGUGGGUGAAGCAACGUUGUUGGGACCGGAGUUGGUACGUAUGACUACGGAAAAGAUUCAAACGAUCCGACAACGUAUAAAAACCUCACAAGAUCGACAAAAGAGUUAUGCUGAUCUUCAUCGAAAGGACGUGGAAUUCGAUAUAGGAGAUCAUGUGUUGUUACGUGUUGCUCCAUGGAAAGGAGUUACGAGAUUUGGAAAGAGAGGAAAGCUCAAUCCUCGAUUCAUCGGCCCAUUUUUAAUCCUCGAUCGAGUAGGAACUGUGGCCUAUAGACUCGCUUUACCGCCAAGUAUGUCUCGUGUUCAUAACGUUUUUCACAUAUCCAUGUUACGUAAAUAUGUGGAAGACCCGAACCACAUUAUUGAGUUAGAACCGGACGAAAUAGCGGAAGAUUUGACGUAUGAAGAGGUUCCUGUUCAAAUCUUGGAUAAGAAGGAACAUAUUCUACGCUCCAAGGUUAUACCUCAAGUCAAAGUUUUGUGGAGAAACCACGAUGUUGAGGAAAUGACUUGGGAGUUAGAAUCUGAAAUGAAAUCAAGGUAUCCUUACCUCUUCGACAUACCAGGUACGUACCCUAAUUUCGAGGGCGAAAUUUCAUAAGAAGGGGAGGUUGUAAGACCCCAACUUUUAUGAAUAAAGAUGAAUUUUCUAUAAAUAUCAUUUUUGAAUAUUAUGGAGUGAAUUUGAUAUAAUGUUAUAGUUGUGGGUAAUAUUUAUAAAUUUUGCAAAGUACGCAAGUUGUUAUAUAAUAUUCGAUUGGUCGGGGAAUAUUCGUUUUAACAGGGAAUAUUCGUACAACGGCACAAUCAUUGGUGGACCCCACAACGGAAUUAUUGUCGGAUUGAGAAAACGACAAAAAUACUUUAUGAAAAUAACGGCGGAAGUUUUACCGUUAACUGUUGAAACACCCGGUGUUAAAAGUACAGUAAUACGCGUGGUUGCAUAGUAGCACACGGUAUUAAUUAUUGAUGCUUACGUGAUAAGUCACUCAGUUUUGUUGGUAUUAUUAAUGUAAUAAUACAGAAAAUCUUUUUAUAUAAAACAGAAUACUUUUAUAAAGUUAUUCUAUAAAUAGAAUAUAUUAUAUUCUAUUAUGCAUAGUGUUGCAUAGUGUCUGCAUAGUGUUUUGCAUAGUAAAAUCUUUUUAUAUAAAACAGAAUACUUUUAUAAAGUUAUCUGUUUUAUUAGACAAUAAUUAGAAUAUAUUAUAUUUUAUUAUGCAUAGUGUUUGCAUAGUGCAUGCAUAGUGUUUGCAUAGUAAAAUCUUUUAUAAAGUUAUUCGUUUUAUUAGAUUAUAAAUAGAAUAUAUUAUAUUUUAUUUAAAAGAUUUUUCUUUAAAUAUGGACCGUCAGAUUAAAGUAAAUCAAUCUGGACCGUUCAUGAGUUAGUUACUAUGCAGUCCAUUUUUCUAUAAAUAGAAGCUCAUUCCUUCAUUAUUUCUUACGAAUUCACUGAAACUCUAGAGAUAAACUAUAGAGAGAAAGAAGAAAAGUAUUCUUCUACUUCACUACUUAUAUAUAUCUAGUACUCUUCUUCUUAAAGUAGGGGGUAUUAUUUCUUUUGUAUUCAUGAAGAGAACUUCUGUUAUUCUAUUAUUUAUUAUUCUGUUGGAAUAACCUGUAUACGCGAACUUCUCUAUACUUGGUGAAAUUCUCCUGUUAUUCUAUUCUUUAUUAUUCUGUUGGAAUAUCCUGUCUGUGCAUUUUAUGCCGGACCUGGUUUCGUCUUUACUAUUUCGUUGGAACAUCCUGUCGGUGCGUAUUACGCCUGACUUGGUUAUGUUAUUUAGUAUUCUGUUGGAAUAACCUGUAUAUGCGAAGUACCGCAUGCAUGGUGAUUUUUGUUGUUAUUCUAUUCUUUAUUAUUCUGUUGGAACAUCAUGUCGGUGCAAAUUUCGCCUGACCUGGUUCUGUUAUUAUUAUUCUGUUGGAAUAACCUGUUUAUGCGAAGUAUCGCAUGCAUGGUGAUUUCUUUUGUUAUUCUAUUCUUUAUUAUAUUCAGUUGGUUAAAGUUUUGACUUCUAUACUCCAUGAAAUUAGUGGAAUAUCCUUGAUAUUUGCACUUCAUCCAGUAUCUUUUCAUGGAAAUAUUCUUUUGAGCAUUCUUGAAUUUUACUCUACAAAGAAGUAUCAUGUUGACAAUUUGGACGUUAUUAGUUCCUGAAUAACUUAAUUCUUGAACUUGUUUUAUUGAAUUCUUAUAUCGUUGUCAUCAUCCUCAUGUUUAUAUUUUUUUAAAGUUAUUUGUGGCCUAUAGUGCAUAGAUGGACUUGGUAUGAUUAUGACCAGGGAUUAUUCGGUGUAAUCAUGACCGUAAUAUUAUAAAUAAUGUGGUAAAAGUCCUCAUUGGCCCGUAGUGCAUUGAUGGACAGUUGUUAGCAUGAUCAUGACCAUUAAUGAAUACACAAAUAUUCUUGACCCGUAGUGCAUGAAUAAUUGUGGUCGUGAUACUAAAGAAUAUCCUUGGCCGUAGUGCAGGGGUAAUUCGAUGAUGUGAAUUAUUUAUUAAGCUGAGUCCCAGCGAUAAAAGUGAUAAUUAAUUAAACUCAUUUAAUUAAUUUGCCUCCUAAUCUUAUUCGGAAUUAAUGAGAGUACUAAUAUUAAUAUAAUUCUCAAACAACUUUAGAAAUUUAAAUAAUAAUAAUUUUUAUAAUAUUAAUAAGACUCUUCUUAUUAAUUAAUAUUUAAUAUUUUUAAAAUAUUAAAUAAUUAAUAUUAAGCUAUUUAAUUUAUUUUAUCACCAUAGAUUAAAUUAAAUACAUUUAACAUAUUAUUACGAUUAUGCCAUUAACUUCUUAAAUAAUUAUUCUUCCUUUUAUGGUGUGACCCUUUAGGUUCAUCAUAUUAAACCGGUUGUGAAUAAAUCAAUUAGAACAAUUCUAAUCUUAUUUAAAUAAAAUAAAUUAAACUAUUAAUUUAUUUAAAUAAAUAAUAUUUAUUCUACAAUAAGGAUAAGCCUCCUUAGCGAUCAACAACUUUUCAGAUAAUAUAGAUUUCAACAUUAAUCAUAAAAGAACCUUUGAGUAAAUAGUUAUCGUACAAUUCAAUCCUUCCACCAUACAAUGUCCAAAUUAAAUAUAAGACAUGAAAUUAAUGUCAACUCUUAUUUUAUUUAAUUAUAUGUAUUUUGAUUCCUAAAUGCACAACUCCUAAUAAAUGCAAAUUAGAAACUACUUCUAAUUUCAUUCCAUCUUAGCCAAGGAUUCAUGGAUUGUCAUUUAUCGAAUCACAUAUGACAUUUCUCUUCGAAGUGGUAGAUUUUUUAUUGAUCAUUCGUUAUCUCCAUAUAUAAUUUAUUACACUCAAGCAUACCCUUUAAUAUACCUCAAGGGUCUUAAGGAAUAAGUCAAAGUGUAAAUCAUUAUAUACAAGAUAGUAUGAUGAUCUCAAGUCUAAGGAUUACUUGUACUACUAUCACUACAUGAAUUCCUAUUGACAGACAAGUAAAACUCCAUUAGGCAUUCCUUAGCAAGUCACGUUUAGUGAACUUAUUCUCCAAUAAGCACAUACAUGUUAGAGUUUAUGCCCUAGAGGCCAAUUAUUUGAUAUAAUUGUUUAACGUUUUGAUAUUAUAUUUGAUUGAAUAAAUGAAUGAUUUUAUUAUGGUUUUAUUUACUGCGUUAUAUAAAUGUUAAUAUAAUAAAAAUUCUUAGAAUAUUGAUGCAAGUUAUAUAGUUUCAAGUAUGUGACUUGAACAUGAGAUUAUAUAAUUACAAUUAGUAUCAUUGUUCUUAAAUGUCCCUAGUCGAGUAUCAUUAUUGAUGAGACAACAAUGAUGCAUUAAGACUAGUAUGUGGAUUGACUGAUGACCAAAUAUCAUUGGUCAUAAAUAUAUGAUAUAUUAAGUCAAUGCAUAGGUACAUGUUAGAGAACGAUGUACUGGAAAGACCCACCAUGAGAAUUUUAUGUGGAGCAUUAUGCGAAGUGUCAUUAGCAAUUCUCAUAGUGACAAUGAUGUAAUGGUCCUCCGACCUGAAAUCACUAUAUUUCUACACGGAAAUUUAUGUACUUUGAUAUCAUCAAAUGACACCAUUAAUAGGGUGGACUAUAAAGGUGAUUAUUGGGUACAUCAUGAAUCGUGUGAGAAAUAUGAGUGAUCUAGAUGGAAUUUAACCAUCCUAUAUAUUAUGGGUGAUAUCCAUAGGCCUCUUGAUUGAGUAGGACUAUGAAAUGCAUGGCCAUGCUCAAAUAGUGAUUUGUUUCAUAUAGUCUACUCAUUGAUCAAGAAAACUCAGAUUAAAUUAUGAAGAGUAUGACACAUUCCAUGACUCGAGUUUAAUCUAGGAUAUUAAGGUUAAAAGGAUUAAAUUACAUUGAAACAUUGGUCACGAAAAGGUUGCAUCGAAUCAUCGAUCUUAUUAUUACUUGGGUAGCAGUGAUGCAUUACUAGAUGCCGCUCACUGUUUAUAAUUUUAUAAUAUGAUUUUAAAAUUAUUGCCAACGUAAUAAUAACCUAUAGGGUCACACACAUAGAACGUAAUUAAAAAGGGAAUUAAUUUAAAUUGUAAAGAUUUAAGUAUAUCAAUAUGAUUGAUAGUAUUUAAAUUACGAAUUUAAAUUAAUAGGAUAAUUUAUAUAUAGGUAUAUUAAUUAAGUAAGACUUAAUUAAGAUAUAUAUAUAUAUAUAUAUAUAUAUAUUCGGAUUUUAUUUUAAUGAGAUUAGGGUUUUGAUUAAUUCUGAUUUACUGCUAUAUAUAUGAUAUAUCAGCGUAUUAGGGAAGUUAAUCAUAACCUAAAACCCUAGCCGCUCUUAGAGAGAGACUAGAGAAAAUAGUUGCAAAAAUCCUCAUCCUUGGUGGCUAGUACCGCAAUUCCUUUUUACUGCAGAUCGUACGACGGUUCGCGGGGCGUUCGUGUGGAUACCAUAGAGACGUUGUUCCGUUGGAUUGCGUUGGAGAUUCAACCGCAUCGUUUCUAGCGUUCAUAAUCGGUAUAAUAUCUAAACCACUGAAUUAAUUUCUGUUUCGCAUGGAUUCUGUUUUGGGUUUUGGAAAUUGCUUUGAUUAUUUUAUAUUUUCGCUGCGUUUUUGUGCCGAAAACCCUACAGUGGUAUCAGAGCUACUUGCGAAAUGAUUAAUUCAGAUUACGUGUUUUAUUGCUUUCGAUAUAUAUGAUAUAUGAUGUUACAUUUUUACCGAUCUGAAAUUGAUUAUAUUGUUUUCGAUAUAUAUAUGAUAUAUGAUGAUAUAAUUUUAUCGAUCAGAAAUUGAAUAUAUAAUAUUCUGUAUGUAAACGUAUUCUGGUAUUAUGAAUAUCAGUGAUAGAUAUGAAUGUAUAUGAUGUUCUGUUAAUUGUAUCUUAUAUGGCGUAAUAACAGUAUACAACUUAUGUUCUAAUUGGAUUAGAAGUAUGAAGAUUCGGUUUAAUAUGAUUAAUUGACACUGGACAUAUAUGAUAUGUACCGGGUGUAUUGUUAUUAUGAUUAUUUUGGUGGAUUAAAUAUUUGAUUCUGAAACUGUUUCAGAGAUUCGUAUGGAAAAAUUAUGCAUUACAGAUUGUAGUUCAAAAAAAAUUUCCAGGGUGGAGACCCCCCCUUGGACCCCCCCGUCGUAGCGCACGAUGGUCGUGACCCCAAUUUGUUAUAUAUAGUUUUUCUUUAAUUAUUUAUAAAAUGUUAUGUGCUUAUUGUGACAUGCAUGGUGCACAGUUAUGGUUUUUGACCCAUAGGUUAGUGGUUUUUGGUUUUGAAAUACGACUUGCAUGUCGUGCCUUUCUAUAAAUUCUAAUGUAAUAUUCUCUUCUCAUCUAAAUCCCCUCGAAUGUAACUUGAGGUUUCUUUAUGUCAUGUAAUAAUUUGUAAUCGAUGAAGAUGACAAGAUGGAUAACACGAUGGAAAGAUGAUGAUGGAAAGGAGGCACAUGCAUCAUGAAGAUCCAAGGGAGCUACUAUUUUGAGAUCUUUUACAACCUUAGAUUGACCUUCAAUCUUUCAUUAGCUAGAAAAGAUUGACAGUGGAUUGGGCCAUAACUGUGACACAUUUAAUUUCGCACUUUAUUUAUGCUUGUAUGUGAUAUGAUAUGAUAAAUAAUGUGCAUGCUUAACAAGAUUAAAAUU
rnacentral:lncRNA from 1 species